rnacentral:rRNA from 1 species
GGAACAGCGUGGGCGGUGGGGGGGUGAAUAGGGAGGGUGGAAGGGUUGUCGCGAAUGUUUGGGUUGAAAGGGUGCGUAGGCGGCCAAUUAAGUGAUUGGUGAAAGAAUUCGGCUCAACCGGAGCAGUGACAUUGAUACUGGUUGGCUUGAGUGCUGCAGGGGUACAUGGAAUUGAUGGUGUAGCGGUGAAAUGCAUAGAUACCAUCAGGAACACCGAUAGCGAAGGGAUUGUACUGGGCGGCAACUGACGCUGAUGCACGAAAGCAUGGGUAGCGAACAGGAUUAGAUACCCUUGUAGUC